UGGAACAAUUCCAUUCUCAUAAUGUUAGAACAUAAUGCAUCAAGUCCAAUGAGAUACACUACCAGAAACAAAUGAUUAUAAUUCCCUAAAGAAGUGUGUACAUAGAAAUUAUAGCCAGACAACUUACUGUAAGCAUGGGCUCCCACAUGGCAAAAUCAUUAUUCCGUUCUGAUAAGACCAGCAAAAUAUCAUAGACAGAUACCAAGAAAACGCCAGAGCGGCAGAAAAUAUUGAUCAAUUAUUGGUUACUGGCAAGACAAAAGGUAGAAGGAACCAUAGUAUAAGUAAAAAGGGAACCGCAAUUUAAGUACAAUGGAACCAUAUGAGUAUAUGAAUGCAGUUAAGGGGGAGCUUGUGUCGUAUCCAUAAUGCUCGUUCGCGGUGGUUGACUUGCCAGACCAGGUGGACCGAUUAUCCCAAUCACCAUGAAAUCAUUGUUCUCCAUCAAAUACUUCAAAAAAGGAAGAAGUAAAAAACACGAGUUCAAUUUUUCAUGCAUGCCAUUUAGCAACCAGUAAUUCUAAGUUUUAGUUGUAACGUAAACGUAUAGGACGCAAGUAUCAAUAGCCGGAUUGUAUAUAUGUCGAGAACAACUGUGUGCAAUACAAGGUAUAUCUCCACAAAUAAUUCUAGUGUACACUAUACAUAUAUAGGUUAAGAACUACUGUGUACUGACCAGCCCUUCUGAAAUCCCUGGUCCUAUGUGAUAACAUACACGAAAAAUUCUGCUAACCUGGAAGGUUGUGGGCACUGCUGAACCAAAUGUUGAAUUCAGAGAGAAGGAAGCAACAAACGACUCCAUUAAAUAUAUCCAGGGAGAAUACUUCAGAAAAUUAACGAAUCCAUAUGCUUAAUGCUGAAUGACACAUCAAUGUGUGCACUGGCUCAGAUCAAUCGUAAUCACAACAUCCCUCCAGUAGUAUGUACAUUUGCUAAGUUUUUAUAGUGACAGAGAAUAAUAGCAUGACAUACGUACAUUCAAAACUCGACCAGUUUCCAUUGCUAUCAUGCCCAAGGGAAUUGUCACAGAUCUACUGAUCCUAAGUUACUUUGAUCCCAGCAUUAUCAACGUAGCAGACACAAGCAAAAUGGUAGAUUCUGAUUUUCCCACCUGGGUGCAUCCAUCUUGCCCGUCGAUAGGAGGAGAGCUCUUCCUUCUGCCCUGAAAACGUCGAUCCCUGGAGGAAGGACUUCCAUCCACGUCCUCACCAAAGGGACCUGUAAAAGCACAAAAACACAAGCGGGAAACAACGCAAGACCAAAGGAAACAUCAAUUUCCACCGCUCACAUCAACUUUUCUUACCAUCUCAUCGGUUGCGGAAGGAAAGCCUCGCGGCCCGUGCCGCGGCCGCGGACACUCCCUGCCCCGGCGACGAUGGCGGACGACGAGUCAGGGGCCCCGACCAGGUAGGCGUGCUGGAUGAGGUCGAUGCCGGCAGGUGGGGCGGAGGGGCAGCAACGGAGGAGGAAGAGGUGGAUCCGCGACGACAGCAAUGGAUCCACGAAGAAGUGUGUACAAUGAGAUACACUACUAGAAACAAAUGAUUAUAAUUCCCUAAAGAAGUGUGUACAUAGAAAUUAUAGCCAGACAACUUACUGUAAGCAUGGGCUCCCACAUGGCAAAAUCAUUAUUCCGUUCUGAUAAGACCAGCAAAAUAUCAUAGACUGAUACCAAGAAAACGCCAGAGCGGCAGAAAAUAUUGAUCAAUUAUUGGUUACUGGCAAGACAAAAGGUAGAAGGAACCAUAGUAUAAGUAAAAAGGGAACCACAAUUUAAGUACAAUGGAACCAUAU
rnacentral:lncRNA from 1 species